GACGAACGCUGGCGGCGUGCCUAAUACAUGCAAGUAGAACGCUGAAGAGAGGAGCUUGCUCUUCUUGGAUGAGGUGCGAACGGGUGAGUAACGCGUAGGUAACCUGCCUUGUAGCGGGGGAUAACUAUGGGAAACGAUAGCUAAUACCGCAUAACAAUGGAUGACACAGGUCAUUUAUAUGAAAGGGGCAAUUGUUCCACUACAAGAUGGACCUGCGUUGUAUUAGCUAGUAGGUGAGGUAAUGGCUCACCUAGGCGACGAUACAUAGCCGACCUGAGAGGGUGAUCGGCCACACUGGGACUGUGACACGGCCCAGACUCCUACGGGAGGCAGCAGUAGGGAAUCUUCGGCAAUGGGGGCAACCCUGACCGAGCAACGCCGCGUGAGUGAAGAAGGUUUUCGGAUCGUAAAGCUCUGUUGUAAGUCAAGAACGGGUGUGAGAGUGGAAAGUUCACACUGUGACGGUAGCUUACCAGAAAGGGACGGCUAACUACGUG
rnacentral:rRNA from 1 species